rnacentral:rRNA from 1 species
GACGAACGCUGGCGGCGUGCUUAACACAUGCAAGUCGAACGGAAAGGCCCUGCUUUUGUGGGGUGCUCGAUUGGCGAACGGGUGAGUAAAACGUGAGUAUCGUGCCCUUGACUUUGGGAUAACUUCAGGAAACUGGGGCUAAUACCGGAUAGGAGCUCCUGCUGCGUGGUGGGGGUUGGAAAGUUGCGGCGGUCGGGGAUGGACUAGCGGCUUAUCGGCUUGUUGGUGGGGUGGUGGCUUACCACGGCUUGGACGGGUAGCCGGCCUGUGAGGGUGACCGGGCACAUGAGGACUGAGAUAGGGCCCAGACUCCUACGGGAGGCAGCAGUGGGGAAUAUUGCACAAUGAGCGGAAGCCUGAGGCAGCAACGCCGCGGGCGGGAUGACGGCCUGCGGGUUAUAAACCGCUGUCGCCUGUGACGAAGCGUGAGUGACGGUAAUGAAUAAAGAAGCACCGGCUAACUACGUG